AAGCGACCGAACCAAAGUGCCGGAAGAUGGGGUGGUAGCCGGCCGCGUCGACCCGCGUAGGGCGGAGUCAGACGCCCCCCGUCGAGUCCUUCCGGGCCUGCCCAUGUGC
rnacentral:sRNA from 1 species